rnacentral:rRNA from 1 species
UACAGAGGUCCCAAGCGUUGUUCGGAUUCACUGGGCGUAAAGGGUGCGCAGGCGGUCGGGUAAGUCUGAUGUGAAAUCUCACAGCUUAACUGUGAAACUGCAUUGGAUACUAUCCGGCUCGAGGAAUGGAGGGGAGACUGGAAUACUUGGUGUAGCAGUGAAAUGCGUAGAUAUCAAGUGGAACACCAGUGGCGAAGGCGAGUCUCUGGACAUUUCCUGACGCUGAGGCACGAAAGCCAGGGGAGCAAACGGG